CACACACACAAACGCACACACCCCUUUCAGAAACUCUCCUCUCUCCUGUCUAUUUUUCAUAUAGAAUAGAUGGAUCUAGGAUUUUCUUAUAUUUUUUUAUUUUUUAGAAAUUGAACGAAUGUUGAUGGUUUGUCUUGGAAUUCAAAUUUGGUAAUUUGUCGUUCUGUUGAUUUGGAAAUGGUUUUCUCAUUUGGGCAGGAAUUAUUCAGUCAGAAAUAUGGGGUUAAUGUUGAUUUGAUUGUCAGAAAAACCUGAAUGUCAUUCGAUAAUAGAUUUGGAGCAUUUAUACUUAGUUAUUAGAGCUAUAGGGAUUCUGAUUCGGCUUGGCAUAUUCUUAUUUUAUUUUUUUUUUUACCCCUUAAAAUUUUCCCCCUUCAAUCUAAGUCUUUAGAUUUGGGAAACUUUCGUUGCUUAACCGAUUCAUUGUUGAACUUUUAGCAUUAGUUUUGCUGAAUGGGUUCCUUUUGUAGAUACUGCAGGCUUUGUUGGAUGAUAUGUUGUGGCUCUUAAGCUCAUAAAUGAGUCGUUCUUCCACCAAUAGCAAGCCUUCCCAAGGAUUAUAGGCUUAAACAUCCAGAAGUUACCGUCCUUGUAUCAAUAGGCAAAUGGAUUGUGGUGACCGACUGGAUUUGCUCAUGUUGCAGCUUAGUCUAAUGCUGAUGGCUUUGAUCUGGAGUACGAUUUCCUACCUUUCAUGGUCCUAAUAAUAGGAAUUCCUGAAUGAUGGCUUCUCCCAUCUAUUCUUCCAUGAAACCUUGAGGUCAUGGGCUUGAACAAAAUUUUUUAUUGAAGCUGGGACUGAUAAUUUCCGGUGAGAAGCAAAACCGAAUGAUUUUGCAUAUUAGUUGAAUGAAUUCUUAUGUUGACCCUGUUAGGGGGAGCAUUCAUAUCAAGUUAGUUUA